rnacentral:sRNA from 1 species
CUAGUUGAUCUUGGCUCUCCUGAUAACAGAAUCCAAUUUCCUUCCUUCCCUCCACAGGUUUGGAACAAACUCUCCCUUCACUUGUUGCCCUGUAGCACUACAGAAACCCUGGUUCUUGGGCUCCACUGAGCCCCAGGAUUGUGACUCCCCAGCCCCUGCCCUCAAAGCUUCAGACCCCUCAGGUAGCAGCAGGACCUUGUGAUCUUGGCCCCUUGGAUCUGAGAUGGUUUUUGCAUCUUUCCAGGAGAGCCUCACAUUCUUCUUCCAGGUUGUAUCACCCCCGAGUUAGCAUAUCCCAGGCUCGCAGACUCAACACAGCAAGGGUGGGAGACAGCUGGGCACAACGGGGGAAUUCCGUUCAGCAUGGGCUCUAAACCCACAGAACUGACAAAGCCCCUGCU